rnacentral:tRNA from 1 species
UAGCUCAGGUGGAUAGAGCGUUGGCCUCCGAAGCCAAAGGUCGCUGGUUCGAAUCCA